CCUACGGGAGGCAGCAGUGAGGAAUAUUGGUCAAUGGGCGAGAGCCUGAACCAGCCAAGUCGCGUGAGGGAGUACUGCCCUAUGGGUUGUAAACCUCUUUUGUCGGGGAGCAAAAGCCGGACGUGUCCGGCUGUGAGAGUACCCGAAGAAAAAGCAUCGGCUAACUCCGUGCCAGCAGCCGCGGUAAUACGGGGGAUGCGAGCGUUAUCCGGAUUUAUUGGGGUUAAAGGGUGCGCAGGCGGAUGUUUAAGUCAGCGGUCAAAUCGUGGGGCUCAACCCCAUCCAGCCGUUGAAACUGGGGAUCUAGAGUGUGCGAGAGGUAUGCGGAAUGCGUGGUGUAGCGGUGAAAUGCAUAGAUAUCACGCAGAACCCCGAUUGCGAAGGCAGCAUACCGGUGCACAACUGACGCUCAGGCACGAAAGCGUGGGUAUCGAACAGGAUUAGAUACCCCAGUAGUC
rnacentral:rRNA from 1 species